rnacentral:rRNA from 1 species
AUUGAACGCUGGCGGCAGGCUUAACACAUGCAAGUCGAGCGGGGUGAUGGUGCUUGCACUAUCACUUAGCGGCGGACGGGUGAGUAAUGCUUAGGAAUCUGCCUAUUAGUGGGGGACAACAUCUCGAAAGGGAUGCUAAUACCGCAUACGUCCUACGGGAGAAAGCAGGGGAUCACUUGUGACCUUGCGCUAAUAGAUGAGCCUAAGUCGGAUUAGCUAGUUGGUGGGGUAAAGGCCUACCAAGGCGACGAUCUGUAGCGGGUCUGAGAGGAUGAGCCGCAACACUGGGACUGAGACACGGCCCAGACUCCUGCGGGAGGCAGCAGUGGGGAAUAUUGGACAAUGGGGGGAACCCUGAUCCAGCCAUGUCGCGUGUGUGAAGAAGGCCUUAUGGUUGUAAAGCACUUUAAGCGAGGAGGAGGCUCUUUUGGUUAAUACCCAAGAUGAGUGGACGUUACUCGCAGAAUAAGCACCGGCUAACUCUGUGCCAGCCGCCGCCGUAA